rnacentral:rRNA from 1 species
UACGAACCGUCCAAACGUUACUCGGAAUCACUGGGCUUAAAGGGUGCGUAGGCCGCGCGGAGGGUGGGAUGUGAAAUCCCCCGGCUCAACCGGGGAAUAGCGUCCCAAACCGCCGUGCUCGAGGGAGACAGAGGUGAGCGGAACUGAUGGUGGAGCGGUGAAAUGCGUUGAUAUCAUCAGGAACACCAGUGGCGAAAGCGGCUCACUGGGUCUUCUCUGACGCUGAUGCACGAAAGCUAGGGGAGCAAACGGG